CAGCCGCCGCGGUAAUACGUAGGGUGCGAGCGUUAAUCGGAAUUACUGGGCGUAAGGCGUGCGCAGGCGGUUUUGUAAGACAGGCGUGAAAUCCCCGGGCUCAACCCUGGACAGGCGGUGGAAACUACCAAGCUAGAGUACAGUAGGGGCAGAGGGAAUUUCCGGUGGAGCGGUGAAAUGCAUUGAGAUCGGAAAGAACACCAACGGCGAAAGCACUCUGCUGGGCCGACACUGACACUAAGAGACGAAAGCUAGGGGAGCAAAUGGGAUUAGAUACCCCAGUAGUCCCUGUCUCUUAUAC
rnacentral:rRNA from 1 species